rnacentral:rRNA from 1 species
UACAGAGGGUGCAAGCGUUAAUCGGAAUUACUGGGCGUAAAGCGUGCGUAGACGGUUAUGUAAGUCAGAUGUGAAAGCCCCGGGCUCAACCUGGGAAUUGCAUUUGAGACUGCAUAGCUAGGGUGCGGAAGAGGGAAGCGGAAUUUCCGGUGUAGCGGUGAAAUGCGUAGAGAUCCGGAAGAACACCGGUGGCGAAGGCGGCUCGCUGGGCAGUGGCUGACGCUGAGGCGCGACAGCGUGGGGAGCAAACAGG